rnacentral:rRNA from 1 species
CCCAAACCAAUAAAGUUUUCUUUAUUGGGGUUGCGGACAUAUCAUAACGAAGAGGUAUCGUAAUUGAAGAGGUUUGGAAAGACCCACCACAGAAGGUAAUAGUCAUGUAUGUUAAACGAGAAGACUUCAGAUAUGAUCCAGAGUACCACGGGACACGUGAAACCCUGUGGGAAGCAGGAGGGACCACCCUCCAAGGCUAAAUACUACCUAGUGACCGAUAGCGUAUAGUACCGUGAGGGAAAGGUGAAAAGAACCCCGGGAGGGGAGUGAAAUAGAACCUGAAACCCUGCACUUACAAGCUGUGGAAGCACAUUUCUUGUGUGACCGCGUACUUUUUGUAGAACGGGCCAACGAGUUACGUUAAGUAGCAAGGUUAAGCACUUAAGGUGCGGAGCCGUAGCGAAAGCGAGUUUUAACUGAGCGUUCAGUUACUUGACGUAGACCCGAAACCGGGCGACCUACCCAUGAGCAGGACGAAGCGAAAGUAAAAUUUCGUGGAGGUCCGAACCCACGGGCGUUGAAAAGCUCGGGGAUGACUUGUGGGUAGCGGUGAAAUUCCAAUCGAGCCCGGAGAUAGCUGGUUCUCCCCGAAAUAGCUUUAGGGCUAGCCUCAAGGUGAGAGAUACGGAGGUAGAGCACUGAAUGUCCUAGGGGGUAUUGCACCU